rnacentral:rRNA from 1 species
UACGAAGGGGGCUAGCGUUGUUCGGAAUCACUGGGCGUAAAGGGCGCGUAGGCGGCUUUAUAAGUCGGGGGUGAAAGCCUGUGGCUCAACCACAGAAUUGCCUUCGAUACUGUAUGGCUUGAGACCGGAAGAGGUAAGUGGAACUGCGAGUGUAGAGGUGAAAUUCGUAGAUAUUCGGAGGAACACCAGUGGCGAAGGCGGCUCACUGGCUCGAUACUGACGCUGAGGUGCGAAAGCGUGGGGAGCAAACAGG